GACCCGAAACCCGGUGAUCUAGCCAUGGGCAGGUUGAAGGUUGGGUAACACUAACUGGAGGACCGAACCGACUAAUGUUGAAAAAUUAGCGGAUGACUUGUGGCUGGGGGUGAAAGGCCAAUCAAACCGGGAGAUAGCUGGUUCUCCCCGAAAGCUAUUUAGGUAGCGCCUCGUGAAUUCAUCUCCGGGGGUAGAGCACUGUUUCGGCAAGGGGGUCAUCCCGACUUACCAACCCGAUGCAAACUGCGAAUACCGGAGAAUGUUAUCACGGGAGACACACGGCGGGUGCUAACGUCCGUCGUGAAGAGGGAAACAACCCAGACCGCCAGCUAAGGUCCCAAAGUCAUGGUUAAGUGGGAAACGAUGUGGGAAGGCCCAGACAGCCAGGAUGUUGGCUUAGAAGCAGCCAUCAUUUAAAGAAAGCGUAAUAGCUCACUGGUCGAGUCGGCCUGCGCGGAAGAUGUAACGGGGCUAAACCAUGCACCGAAGCUGCGGCAGCGACACUGUGUGUUGUUGGGUAGGGGAGCGU
rnacentral:rRNA from 1 species